rnacentral:rRNA from 1 species
CUACGGGUCGCUGCAGUGAGGAAUAUUGCACAAUGGGGGGAACCCUGAUGCAGCAACGCCGCGUGGAGGAUGACGCAUUUCGGUGUGUAAACUCCUUUUAUAUGUCAAGAAAAUGACGGUAGCAUAUGAAUAAGCACCGGCUAACUCCGUGCCAGCAGCCGCGGUAAUACGGAGGGCGCAAGCGUUACUCGGAAUCACUGGGCGUAAAGAGCGUGUAGGCGGAUUAAAAAGUCAGAAGUGAAAUCCUAUAGCUUAACUAUAGAACUGCUUCUGAAACUCUUAAUCUAGAAUAUGGGAGGGGGAGAUGGAAUUAGUGGUGUAGGGGUAAAAUCCGUAGAUAUCACUAGGAAUACCUAAAGCGAAGGCGAUCUCCUGGAACAUUACUGACGCUAAGGCGUGAAAGCGUGGGGAGCAAACAGGAUUAGAUUCCCUUGUAGUC